UGGCGAACGGGUGAGUAACACGUGAGUAACCUGCCCCAGACUCUGGGAUAACCCCGGGAAACCGGAGCUAAUACCGGAUACGACGCGAAGAGGCAUCUCUGUCGCGUGGAAAGUUUUUCGGUCUGGGAUGGACUCGCGGCCUAUCAGCUUGUUGGUGAGGUAACGGCUCACCAAGGCGACGACGGGUAGCCGGCCUGAGAGGGCGACCGGCCACACUGGGACUGAGACACGGCCCAG
rnacentral:rRNA from 1 species